rnacentral:rRNA from 3 species
UGGUGGGUAGUUUGACUGGGGCGGUCUCCUCCUAAAGAGUAACGGAGGAGCACGAAGGUUGGCUAAUCCUGGUCGGACAUCAGGAGGUUAGUGCAAUGGCAUAAGCCAGCUUGACUGCGAGCGUGACGGCGCGAGCAGGUGCGAAAGCAGGUCAUAGUGAUCCGGUGGUUCUGAAUGGAAGGGCCAUCGCUCAACGGAUAAAAGGUACUCCGGGGAUAACAGGCUGAUACCGCCCAAGAGUUCAUAUCGACGGCGGUGUUUGGCACCUCGAUGUCGGCUCAUCACAUCCUGGGGCUGAAGUAGGUCCCAAGGGUAUGGCUGUUCGCCAUUUAAAGUGGUACGCGAGCUGGGUUUAGAACGUCGUGAGACAGUUCGGUCCCUAUCUGCCGUGGGCGCUGGAGAACUGAGGGGGGCUGCUCCUAGUACGAGAGGACCGGAGUGGACGCAUCACUGGUGUUCGGGUUGUCAUGCCAAUGGCACUGCCCGGUAGCUAAAUGCGGAAGAGAUAAGUGCUGAAAGCAUCUAAGCACGAAACUUGCCCCGAGAUGAGUUCUCCCUGAGACUUAGAGUCUCCUGAAGGAACGUUGAAGACGACGACGUUGAUAGGCCGGGUGUGUAAGCGCAGCGAUGCG